rnacentral:rRNA from 1 species
GAUGAACGCUGGCGGCGUGCCUAAUACAUGCAAGUCGAGCGAACAGACGAGGAGCUUGCUCCUCUGACGUUAGCGGCGGACGGGUGAGUAACACGUGGAUAACCUACCUAUAAGACUGGGAUAACUUCGGGAAACCGUAGCUAAUACCGGAUAAUAUAUUGAACCGCAUGGUUCAAUAGUGAAAGACGGUUUUGCUGUCACUUAUAGAUGGAUCCGCGCCGCAUUAGCGAGUUGGUAAGGUAACGGCUUACCAAGGCAACGAUGCGUAGCCGACCUGCGAGGGUGAUCGGCCACACUGGAACUGAGACACGGUCCAGACUCCUACGGGAGGCAGCAGUAGGGAAUCUUCCGCAAUGGGCGAAAGCCUGACGGAGCAACGCCGCGUGAGUGAUGAAGGUCUUCGGAUCGUAAAACUCUGUUAUUAGGGAAGAACAAAUGUGUAAGUAACUAUGCACGUCUUGACGGUACCUAAUCAGAAAGCCACGGCUAACUACGUG